AACGAACGCUGGCGGCAUGCCUAAUACAUGCAAGUCGAACGAGAUCUUCGGAUCUAGUGGCGCACGGGUGCGUAACGCGUGGGAAUCUGCCCUUGGGUUCGGAAUAACUUCUGGAAACGGAAGCUAAUACCGGAUGAUGACGUAAGUCCAAAGAUUUAUCGCCCAAGGAUGAGCCCGCGUAGGAUUAGCUAGUUGGUGGGGUAAAGGCCCACCAAGGCGACGAUCCUUAGCUGGUCUGAGAGGAUGAUCAGCCACACUGGGACUGAGACACGGCCCAGACUCCUACGGGAGGCAGCAGUAGGGAAUAUUGGACAAUGGGCGAAAGCCUGAUCCAGCAAUGCCGCGUGAGUGAUGAAGGCCUUAGGGUUGUAAAGCUCUUUUACCCGGGAUGAUAAUGACAGUACCGGGAGAAUAAGCUCCGGCUAACUCCGUGCCAGCCGCCGCAGUAA
rnacentral:rRNA from 1 species